GAUGUUCCAUGCUCGAUAAAAAUAUGGAGGUUAAAAUGGUAACUUACCCACAGAUCCUCCCCUAUUUGAGCUUAAAAAAAGUUUCGUCUAUUUAGAUGGAAGUUACAUCAGGAACCUCAGGGGAAGCACAUCCAUAGACAAAACCUGCUCGUUUGAAGCCUGAUCGUCUGAACUUGCUCGCGUGAACAAAAGCCUGAUCGUCUGAUAAAGCUUACUCGUGUGAAGACCGCUGACAAAAAGCCCUUUUCUCUAUCUUUCUCUUUGCUCUCUUCUCAGUAACACAAACAAAGAAAAGCUCUCUUCUCUGUCUAUCUUUUCUGCUAUCUUCUUUGUCUCUCUAUCUGCUCUCUUCUCUGUCUCUCUCUCUGCUCUCUUCUCGCGUGAAGACCGCUGAAAAAAGCUCUCUUCUCUGUCUCUCUCUCUGAUAUAAAGCAAACUCUGUAGUCAUUUGGAGGUGCACCUUUGUUCAAGAAAGCAACUAUUGCCCUUUGUUCUCUGUUAAUAUAAAGCAAAGCUCUCACAGCUACUACCCUUUGCUCUCUGUUAAACUCAUGCUCACUCUGCAAACCCUAGAUUGAGGAAGAGAAAGGGACUCACUCGCAGCAACCGCUUGCCCCAUCGCCAUCAUCAUAGAGAAGGAACCCCAAAUUAGUCAGUAUUUUUUUUCUUCCUUCUUCUGUUUAUUAUGAUGAUAAACCCCAAAUGACCAUAGUAGUAUUUUUUUUUUGCUAUGAUUUUUGUUGAUAAACCUCAAAUCAGUGCGUUAAUUCACUAAUAAACCCAAAUCAGUGAGUUGAUAUAUUUUUUUUGCUGCUAUUUUGGCUCAUAAACCCCAAAUCAGCAAGUUUUUUAUUUUUUAUUUUUUAUUUUUCUGUUACUCUCGAAAUAGAGAAGUUAACUCACUGAUAAACCCCAAAUCAUUGAGUUCAAUUUUUUUUUCGCUACUAGUUAGGCUGAUAAACCCCAAAUCAGUGAGUUUACUCAUUGAUAAAUCCCAAAUAAGUGAGUUAUUUGUUUUUUUGCUACUAUUUUUGCUCAUAAACCCUAAAUCAGUGAGUUAAUUCACUGAUAAGCCCCAAAUCAGUGAGUUUUUUUCUUUUGUUCCUAUUUUUUCUGUUAAUCUCGAAAUAGAGAAGUUAACUCACUGACAAAANNN
rnacentral:lncRNA from 1 species